rnacentral:rRNA from 1 species
GAUGAACGCUGGCGGCGUGCCUAAUACAUGCAAGUCGAGCGAACAGACGAGGAGCUUGCUCCUCUGACGUUAGCGGCGGACGGGUGAGUAACACGUGGAUAACCUACCUAUAAGACUGGGAUAACUUCGGGAAACCGGAGCUAAUACCGGAUAAUAUAUUGAACCGCAUGGUUCAAUAGUGAAAGACGGGUUUGCUGUCACUUAUAGAUGGAUCCGCGCCGCAUUAGGUAGUUGGUAAGGUAACGGCUUACCAAGGCAACGAUGCGUAGCCGACCUGAGAGGGUGAUCCGCCACACUGGAACUGAGACCCGGUCCAGACUCCUACGGGAGGCAGCAGUAGGGAAUCUUCCGCAAUGGGCGAAAGCCUGACGGAGCAACGCCGCGUGAGUGAUGAAGGUCUUCGGAUCGUAAAACUCUGUUAUUAGGGAAGAACAAAUGUGUAAGUAACUAUGCACGUCUUGACGGUACCUAAUCAGAAAGCCACGGCUAACUACGUG